AAGACUUGGCGGUGCCCUAUACCACCUAGAGGAGCCUGUUCUAUAAUCGAUGACCCCCGAUAAACCUCACCAUCUCUUGCCAACACCGCCUGUAUACCUCCGUCGUCAACUAACCCCUCAAGGGAAGAAGUUGGUUUAAUGGCUUACCCCAAAAAAGUCAGGUCAAGGUGCAGCGAAUGAGAUGGGAAGAAAUGGGCUACAUUUUCUACCACUAGACUAAACGAAAAAUCACUAUGAAAUCUGAUUGGAAGGCGGAUUUAGCAGUAAAAAGAGAUUAGAGCGCUCUUUUUAAGUAGGUCCUAGGGCGCGCACACACUGCCCGUCACCCUCUUCAACUCUGUACCUCACAUUUUUAAUAAUAUUCAAAGAGAAAAGAAGAGGCAAGUCGUAACAUGGUAAGUCCACCGGAAGGUGGACUUGG
rnacentral:rRNA from 1 species